rnacentral:rRNA from 1 species
GACGAACGCUGGCGGCGUGCUAAUACAUGCAAGUAGAACGCACAGGAUGCACCGUAGUUUACUACACCGUAUUCUGUGAGUUGCGAACGGGUGAGUAACGCGUAGGUAACCUGCCUGGUAGCGGGGGAUAACUAUUGGAAACGAUAGCUAAUACCGCAUAAGAACAUUUACUGCAUGGUAGAUGUUUAAAAGGUGCAAAUGCAUCACUACCAGAUGGACCUGCGUUGUAUUAGCUAGUAGGUGAGGUAACGGCUCACCUAGGCGACGAUACAUAGCCGACCUGAGAGGGUGAUCGGCCACACUGGGACUGAGACACGGCCCAGACUCCUACGGGAGGCAGCAGUAGGGAAUCUUCGGCAAUGGGGGGAACCCUGACCGAGCAACGCCGCGUGAGUGAAGAAGGUUUUCGGAUCGUAAAGCUCUGUUGUUAAGGAAGAACGAGUGUGAGAAUGGAAAGUUCAUACUGUGACGGUACUUAACCAGAAAGGG